rnacentral:tRNA from 1 species
GAUUCCGUAGCUUAAUUGGAUAGAGCACCUGGUUACGGCCCAGGAGGUUGGGGGUUCGAGUCCCUCCGGGAUCACAA